rnacentral:rRNA from 1 species
GACGGAGGGUGCAAGCGUUGUUCGGAUUGACUGGGCGUAAAGGGCGUGUAGGCGGUCGGUCAAGUCUGGUGUGAAAGCCCGGGGCUCAGCUCCGGAAGUGCAUCGGAAACUAGCUGGCUGGAGCGCGAUAGAGGAGGGCGGAAUUCCUGGUGUAGCGGUGAAAUGCGUAGAUAUCAGGAAGAACACCCGUGGCGAAGGCGGCUCUCUGGGACGGUACUGACGCUGAGACACGAAAGCGUGGGGAGCGAACAGG